AAAAAAAAAAAAAAAAAACACAUUUUUAAAGAAACAAUUGAAAAAUGGCUACAAAAGCUAGUCUGAGAUAUUUUAAUACCAUAGCUUUCAAACCACAUGAUCAAACAAUUUGAAACUCAUACAAAAAUCCUUGGUUAUCAUACCAAUCAUGUUUCCAACAUAAGCACACCAACAACGCAUGCAUAAAGGGCCAAUCCACAAUACAAAGGCUAAAGUUGCACAAGAUACUCAAUGUCUUGUAGCUCUACCAUCAGGAAUGAGAAAUCAAUGUUACGAGAAAAAAGAAAAACAGGAAUUACAACUGGUGAAGAUGAAGGACGAUGUAUUUGCAAACCCAAGAACCCAAUCUAGAUAACCUUCAUGAAACGUUUUCCAAUAUUGAGCUAUUCACCACUCCAAUGAUAUAAGGCAUAUGUAAAACAUGCCAUUGAUUGACAAUCAUCCAUAUCUGCCCCAUUAUCUUUCAGAUUACCACAGGGGUAAGUUGCAUGCCUUGGAUAAUAGCAGGCAUAAACUCUACAUGCCUUGGAUAAUAGAACAAACUUUUCAGCUCUCUCUCUACUAUCAUCAAGCUUCAGGCAUUUAGACACUUUGAUACAUCAGUUUUCAGAUGGAUAUUUA
rnacentral:misc_RNA from 1 species